rfam:Schistosoma mansoni, Puerto Rico, WGS project CABG01000000 data, contig: 0134
GCUAUAUACUAUACAGUAUAAUACUAUAAUCUACGUAUACAAACGUGCUUGAUUAUUGUUUAAUCAAAGCAUUCAAUUCGGUGGGUGGUGAUGCAUGGCCGUUCUUAGUUGGUGGAGUGAUUAUUCUGGUUAAUUCUGAUGAGGAACGAGACUUUAUUCUGCUAAAUAGGAGACUGUUCCUCUAUCCUCAUUUCGGGUGCGGCUUCUAUUGCUUCUUUAUGGAGUGGUGUGGUCUUGAUGCGCCUGGUGCAGUGACAGUUUUUACUUCUUAGAAGGACAAGCGGCACACUUAUAUCGCACAGAAUUGAGCAAUAACAGGUCUGUGAUGCCCUUAGAUGUCCGGGGCCACACGUGCUCUACAAUGACGGUGCUAGCGAGUCUGGAAACCUGGCCCGAAAGGGUUGGGCAAACUGUUUCAUCACCAUCGUGACUGGAAUCGAGGCUUGCAAUUAUUCCCCGUGAACGAGGAAUUCCUGGUAAGUGCAAGUCAUAAGCUUGCGCUGAUCAC